rnacentral:tRNA from 1 species
AGGCAGUGGAUUGUGAUCC